AUUGAACGCUGGCGGCAUGCCUUACACAUGCAAGUCGAACGGCAGCACGGGAGCAAUCCUGGUGGCGAGUGGCGAACGGGUGAGUAAUAUAUCGGAACGUGCCCAGUCGUGGGGAUAACGUAGCGAAAGCUACGCUAGUACCGCAUACGAUCUAUGGAUGAAAGCGGGGGAUCGCAAGACCUCGCGCGAUUGGAGCGGCCGAUAUCAGAUUAGGUAGUUGGUGAGGUAAAGGCUCACCAAGCCGACGAUCUGUAGCUGGUCUGAGAGGACGACCAGCCACACUGGGACUGAGACACGGCCCAGACUCCUACGGGAGGCAGCAGUGGGGAAUAUUGGACAAUGGGCGCAAGCCUGAUCCAGCCAUGCCGCGUGAGUGAUGAAGGCCCUAGGGUUGUAAAGCUCUUUCACCGGUGAAGGAUAAUGACGGUAACCGGAGAAGAAGACCCGGCUAACUCGUGCCAGCAGCCGCGG
rnacentral:rRNA from 1 species